CCUACGGGAGGCAGCAGUAGGGAAUAUUGGGCAAUGGAGGCAACUCUGACCCAGCCAUGCCGCGUGCAGGAAGAAGGCGUUAUGCGUUGUAAACUGCUUUUAUAUAGGAAGAAAUAGACCUUGCGAGGUAAGUUGACGGUACUAUAUGAAUAAGCACCGGCUAACUCCGUGCCAGCAGCCGCGGUAAUACGGAGGGUGCAAGCGUUGUCCGGAUUUAUUGGGUUUAAAGGGUGCGUAGGCGGUUUAUUAAGUCAGUGGUGAAAGACGGUCGCUCAACGAUUGCAGUGCCAUUGAUACUGGUAGACUUGAGUGGGAUUGAGGUAGCUGGAAUGGAUAGUGUAGCGGUGAAAUGCAUAGAUAUUAUCCAGAACACCAAUUGCGUAGGCAAGUUACUAAGUCUCAACUGACGCUGAGGCACGAAAGUGUGGGUAUCAAACAGGAUUAGAUACCCUGGUAGUCCACACUGUAAACGAUGAUAACUAACUGUUGGCUUUCGGGUCAGUGGUACAGAGAAAUCGUUAAGUUAUCCACCUGGGGAUACGCCGGCAACGGUGAGAGCGAAGAGUAGUAGACGNGAGAGAGCGACGACGGACGACGACGGAGGGAGGAG
rnacentral:rRNA from 1 species